rnacentral:rRNA from 1 species
UACGGGGGGAGCAAGCGUUGUUCGGAUUUACUGGGCGUAAAGGGCGCGUAGGCGGCCACCGCAGGUCGGUUGUGAAAUCUCCGGGCUUAACCCGGAAAGGUCAAUCGAUACUGCGGGGCUAGAGUGCAGAAGGGGCAACUGGAAUUCUCGGUGUAGCGGUGAAAUGCGUAGAUAUCGAGAGGAACACCUGCGGCGAAGGCGGGUUGCUGGGCUGACACUGACGCUGAUGCGCGAAAGCUAGGGGAGCGAACGGG